UUUAUGGAGAGUUUGAUCCUGGCUCAGGAUGAACGCUGGCGGCGUGCCUAAUACAUGCAAGUCGAGCGAACGGACGAGAAGCUUGCUUCUCUGAUGUUAGCGGCGGACGGGUGAGUAACACGUGGAUAACCUACCUAUAAGACUGGGAUAACUUCGGGAAACCGGAGCUAAUACCGGAUAAUAUUUNGAACCGCAUGGUUCAAAAGUGAAAGACGGUCUUGCUGUCACUUAUAGAUGGAUCCGCGCUGCAUUAGCUAGUUGGUAAGGUAACGGCUUACCAAGGCAACGAUGCAUAGCCGACCUGAGAGGGUGAUCGGCCACACUGGAACUGAGACACGGUCCAGACUCCUACGGGAGGCAGCAGUAGGGAAUCUUCCGCAAUGGGCGAAAGCCUGACGGAGCAACGCCGCGUGAGUGAUGAAGGUCUUCGGAUCGUAAAACUCUGUUAUUAGGGAAGAACAUAUGUGUAAGUAACUGUGCACAUCUUGACGGUACCUAAUCAGAAAGCCACGGCUAACUACGUGCCAGCAGCCGCGGUAAUACGUAGGUGGCAAGCGUUAUCCGGAAUUAUUGGGCGUAAAGCGCGCGUAGGCGGUUUUUUAAGUCUGAUGUGAAAGCCCACGGCUCAACCGUGGAGGGUCAUUGGAAACUGGAAAACUUGAGUGCAGAAGAGGAAAGUGGAAUUCCAUGUGUAGCGGUGAAAUGCGCAGAGAUAUGGAGGAACACCAGUGGCGAAGGCGACUUUCUGGUCUGUAACUGACGCUGAUGUGCGAAAGCGUGGGGAUCAAACAGGAUUAGAUACCCUGGUAGUCCACGCCGUAAACGAUGAGUGCUAAGUGUUAGGGGGUUUCCGCCCCUUAGUGCUGCAGCUAACGCAUUAAGCACUCCGCCUGGGGAGUACGACCGCAAGGUUGAAACUCAAAGGAAUUGACGGGGACCCGCACAAGCGGUGGAGCAUGUGGUUUAAUUCGAAGCAACGCGAAGAACCUUACCAAAUCUUGACAUCCUUUGACCACUCUAGAGAUAGAGCUUUCCCUUCGGGGACAAAGUGACAGGUGGUGCAUGGUUGUCGUCAGCUCGUGUCGUGAGAUGUUGGGUUAAGUCCCGCAACGAGCGCAACCCUUAAGCUUAGUUGCCAUCAUUAAGUUGGGCACUCUAAGUUGACUGCCGGUGACAAACCGGAGGAAGGUGGGGAUGACGUCAAAUCAUCAUGCCCCUUAUGAUUUGGGCUACACACGUGCUACAAUGGACAAUACAAAGGGCAGCGAAACCGCGAGGUCAAGCAAAUCCCAUAAAGUUGUUCUCAGUUCGGAUUGUAGUCUGCAACUCGACUACAUGAAGCUGGAAUCGCUAGUAAUCGUAGAUCAGCAUGCUACGGUGAAUACGUUCCCGGGUCUUGUACACACCGCCCGUCACACCACGAGAGUUUGUAACACCCGAAGCCGGUGGAGUAACCUUUUAGGAGCUAGCCGUCGAAGGUGGGACAAAUGAUUGGGGUGAAGUCGUAACAAGGUAGCCGUAUCGGAAGGUGCGGCUGGAUCACCUCCUUUCU
rnacentral:rRNA from 1 species